UACGUAGGUGGCAAGCGUUGUCCGGAUUUAUUGGGUUUAAAGGGUGCGUAGGUGGCUUAUUAAGUCAGUGUUUAAAGUCUGCAGCUUAACUGUAGGUAUGGCAUUGAUACUGAUAGGCUUGAGUAAAGUUGAGGUAGGCGGAAUUGAAGGUGUAGCGGUGAAAUGCAUAGAUAUCUUCAAGAACACCAAUUGCGAAGGCAGCUUACUAAGCUUUAACUGACACUGAGGCACGAAAGCGUGGGGAUCAAACAGG
rnacentral:rRNA from 1 species